UGUGAGCGCCAAUUGAAGAUUUUCCCACACUUGGCGCGUGUGUAGCGUGUCUCAUCCGUGUGGAUUCUACAAUGUCUGAUAAGGUUUGAGCUCUGAUUGAAGCUUUUCCCGCACUCAGAGCAUGUGUAGGGCAGCUCCCCUGCGUGGAUUCUCUGAUGUGUGAUAAGGGCAGAGCGCCGAUUGAAGCUUUUCCUGCAUUCAUGGCAUGUGUAGCGUGUCUCUUCCAAGUUGAUUCGGUCACGUGUUAUAAGGUCUGAGUGGCUAC